GACGAACCGAGCGAACGUUGUUCGGAAUCACUGGGCUUAAAGGGCGCGUAGGCGGGCCGUCAAGUCAAGGGUGAAAGCCCCCGGCUCAACCGGGGAAGUGCCUCUGAUACUGGCGGCCUCGAGGGAGGUAGGGGCGUGCGGAACUUCCGGUGGAGCGGUGAAAUGCGUAGAUAUCGGAAGGAACACCGAUGGCGAAGGCAGCCCCCUGGGUCGACACUGACGCUCAUGCACGAAAGCGUGGGGAGCAAACAGG
rnacentral:rRNA from 1 species